AUUGAACGCUGGCGGCAUGCCUUACACAUGCAAGUCGAACGGUAACGGGUCCUUCGGGAUGCCGACGAGUGGCGAACGGGUGAGUAAUAUAUCGGAACGUGCCCAGUAGUGGGGGAUAACUGCUCGAAAGAGCAGCUAAUACCGCAUACGACCUGAGGGUGAAAGGGGGGGAUCGCAAGACCUCUCGCUAUUGGAGCGGCCGAUAUCAGAUUAGCUAGUUGGUGGGGUAAAGGCCUACCAAGGCAACGAUCUGUAGUUGGUCUGAGAGGACGACCACCCACACUGGGACUGAGACACGGCCCAGACUCCUACGGGAGGCAGCAGUGGGGAAUUUUGGACAAUGGGCGCAAGCCUGAUCCAGCCAUACCGCGUGGGUGAAGAAGGCCUUCGGGUUGUAAAGCCCUUUUGUUGGGAAAGAAAUCCAUCUGGUUAAUACCCGGGUGGGAUGACGGUACCCAAAGAAUAAGCACCGGCUAACUUCGUGCCAGCCGCCGCCGUAA
rnacentral:rRNA from 1 species